rnacentral:rRNA from 1 species
CAAUGAGCCUUCUCCUUCAUCGCUGGUGCCACCUGUUCCACCAAGGGUCUCUGCUAGACCGAGCACUCCCCGACGUGCUACCUCUCUUCUAGCUCUAACAAGCGGCCUAGCACGUAUCUUCCUGCCGCGGCAGCCGCGAAGCAGGUACCUUCCCUGGAAAUGGGUUCCAAUAGAAGGCUCGUUGCCGAGAAUAGGCAAGGACCAGCGAUGAGUGAGGCUGCCUCCGGUCCCUCGAAAACCAAUGACGACGAUAGGCUACCCUCUACCAUCGAGCCCUAUAUAAGUCGGCCAAACCUACCGCCAGCACAUUGUCCUAUCCGUUAAUCAAAUGGACAGAUAAAACCUCGGUUUGCCGACACUACAUAUUCACGAAACCGAUCGAACACAUAGAUCGGAAGCCCGAGACACACUCGGAAAAGAAUGAAAAGAACAACUGUUGGAACUCUGAACCUCUGAAACACCUGAUAAAAUACGAAUUAUUCUACCGGCAUACGUAGUACGACUACGUCUCCGGCCCCUUCGGGGGGAAAAGCUUUUUUUUU